rnacentral:rRNA from 1 species
GACAGAGGUGCCGAGCGUUAGGCGGAAUCACUGGGCUUAAAGCGUGUGUAGGCGGGUGCCUAAGUACCUUGUGAAAUCCCACGGCUCAACCGUGGAACUGCUCGGUAUACUGGGUGCCUUGAGCCAACUAGGGGCGACCGGAACAAACGGUGGAGCGGUGAAAUGCGUAGAUAUCAGGAGGAACACCGAUGGCGAAGGCAGGUCUCUGGGCAUUAACUGACGCUGAGGAGCGAAGGCAUGGGGAGCGAACAGG